GGGGACGACACCGAGUGCCAAUCUCAUGUGCUGGGUGUCCGGGUGUGUAAUAUACACCUGUUAGCGGGGCCGGGCAAGACCGGUGCCAGCCGCCGCGGUAA
rnacentral:rRNA from 1 species